rnacentral:rRNA from 1 species
GAUGAACGCUGGCGGCGUGCCUAAUACAUGCAAGUCGAGCGAACGGACGAGAAGCUUGCUUUUCUGAUGUUAGCGGCGGACGAGUGAGUAACACGUGGAUAACCUACCUAUAAGACUGGGAUAACUUCGGGAAACCGGAGCUAAUACCGGAUAAUAUUUUGAACCGCAUGGUUCAAAAGUGAAAGACGGUCUUGCUGUCACUUAUAGAUGGAUCCGCGCUGCAUUAGCUAGUUGGUAAGGUAACGGCUUACCAAGGCAACGAUGCAUAGCCGACCUGAGAGGGUGAUCGGCCACACUGGAACUGAGACACGGUCCAGACUCCUACGGGAGGCAGCAGUAGGGAAUCUUCCGCAAUGGGCGAAAGCCUGACGGAGCAACGCCGCGUGAGUGAUGAAGGUCUUCGGAUCAUAAAACUCUGUUAUUAGGGAAGAACAUAUGUGUAAGUAACUGUGCACAUCUUGACGGUACCUAAUCAGAAAGCCACGGCUAACUACGUG